rnacentral:lncRNA from 1 species
CAAUUUCAAUCUAUAGGAAUAUUCGAUGAUGUUUUGGUGCGUCAGGGGUUUCGAUGGCGAGUAAAGAGUUUGGAGAGCAAAGGUUUGGGCAGGCAAAUACGAUUGGGUCAUCUUAUGCGUUAACGUUCCGAUGCCUCGUACGAGAGCGUACGUCAGUUCAAAGAGCGAACAUGGGGGGUACAAAGGUAGCUAGCCUCGUCCUAGCCUCGUUAUUGCGCAUUCAUACUCUUCUAAAGAUAAGUACUGCGUUUGUGUUUCUUCUUUAUUCUCCCCGUAAAUGUCCUCGUCUAAUUUAAUUACGUACGUAAUAAUUCGAUUAAUCAAUAAAUCCGUAAUAAAUCCGUAUAAACGUUUGAAUCGUGUGCGUGAGUGAACUAGUGGCGUCGAUGCCUGUCGUAGACAUCGACUAGGAAGUCUCUGUAGUAACCAGCGGUAAACGUAUCACAAGUUAUGUAGCAAGUUUAUUUAUUCGUCAUCGGAAUGCGAGCGUUCGAUGCUCGAGGUAAGUGCUUGCUUUUUCUCUUUCCUUUUCCUUUUCCUUCUAUUCCUCUUUUUCUAUUCGUAUUCUAUCCAUCCCUUUUCCUCCUUACCACCGACCUUACUUAUAAUUUAGCGGAUGAAAAAAAGGUGACAUUCUUUACGAUAUAUUAUAACUCUCCUCUUUCUUUUUGUCAAGUUGGCAAGUUCAAAAGUGCGAGGAUAAUGUUUAACAACGCUUACGCGACAAGCACGUGUCGAACCUCGAACGCUCGUCUUUAUUGUAUGUAGUUUAUAGCGUAACACAACGUCGCGACGCUCGUCGUCGUCGUCGUUGAAAGUACGACGCGCGUUACAUACGAUCGUUGUGAUCGCUUAGAUAAUCAUUAUUGUAUAUCAAACUUUAUAAACUGUAAUAUAAUGUAAACCUGUAAAAAAUAUACUGGGUGGCGGCGGCUCUGUAUAAUAUAAUAAGUAGUAUUAUAAUCGUUAUGGUACAAUUGUAAUUAGUAUAAAUAUAUCAUUAUGUUAUAUAUUGCGACGUAUGUUUUCAUUAUUUCAGUUUUUUCUUUUCUUCGUCAACUGAUUUUCUCUUUUCUAACUUUCUCGUUCGUUCUCUCUUUCUCUCGCGCACGCAUACAACACACGCGUACACACGCAAUUUCUCGCAAUUUCUCGCAAUUUCUCGCAAUUUCUCGCAAUUUCUCUCUCUCUUUCCCCUUUGCUUUUCACUUUAUUGAAAAUUUCUGGAAAACGUUGUUACGCUAUGUCCAUCUUUUCGUCAAUCUCCCUCACAUCGAAGAAUACGAUACGAUAAUUUCUCGUUGAUACAGCAAAGAUACGAUUCAGAUGUGAUUGUAAAAAUCGAUUCUUUAUCCCGUAGAGCGUAAUUGUGUGAGAAAGUUUGAAUAGUUGUUAAAAUAAAUUCUAAUGUCAGUCAAAAAUAAAAACGUAAAAGCGUAAAAGAAGUAUUUGUUUAAAAAACGAAUCAAACUUAGAUUGGUGAAAAUGCAAAGAUAUAAAAGAAGGAAGUGCGAUCUUUGCUGUACCAUGCAAUUUAAACUAUAGCGUAUCUUCGUUAUUAAAUAAUCGUGCGCUCAAGGCGAGGCUAGGGCGAUUUAGGAACUACGUGACAGCACAACCGAUGCAAGUAACUAUUUCAUCUGUAUGUUUUCUUUCUUUCAUAAAUAAAUUUAAAGUGAAGAAAGUA